rnacentral:rRNA from 1 species
GACAUAGGUGGCGAACGUUAUCCGGAAUUAUUGGGCGUAAAGGGUGCGUAGAUCGGUCUAGUAAGUUGGACAGCGGGAAUCGAGGCCCAACCUCGUGGAAGUUUGUUAAUAACUGGCUAUACUCGAGUGCAGGAGAGGUUAACGGAACUCAAUGGUGGAGCGGUAAAUGAUGUAUGAUAUAUUGAAGAACACCAAUAACCGGCGAAGGCAAGUUAACUACUUCUGUUACUGACGUUGAGGCACGAAAGCGUGGGGAAGCAAAAAGGAGGUUAGAAAAC